UACAGAGGUCCCGAGCGUUGUUCGGAUUUACUGGGCGUAAAGGGUGCGUAGGCGGUGGGGUAAGUUUGAGGUGAAAGCUCCGGGCUCAACCCGGAAAAUGCCUUGAAAACUAUCCGGCUAGAGGGUUGGAGGGGAGACUGGAAUUCUCGGUGUAGCAGUGAAAUGCGUAGAUCUCGAGAGGAACACCAGUGGCGAAGGCGGGUCUCUGGACAACACCUGACGCUGAGGCACGAAAGCCAGGGGAGCGAACAGG
rnacentral:rRNA from 1 species